rnacentral:rRNA from 1 species
UACGUAGGGGGCGAGCGUUGUCCGGAAUCAUUGGGCGUAAAGCGCGUGUAGGCGGCUCGUUAAGUCCGGUGUGAAACCUUGGGGCUCAACCCCAAGCCUGCACUGGAUACUGACGAGCUCGAGUCCGGGAGGGGAGAGCGGAAUUCCUAGUGUAGCGGUGAAAUGCGCAGAGAUCGGGAGGAACAUCCGUGGCGAAGGCGGCCAUCUGGAUCAACACUGACGCUGAGGCACGAAAGCGUGGGGAGCAAACAGGG